rnacentral:tRNA from 6 species
GCCCAGAUGGUGAAAUUGGCAAACACGCUAGAUUCAGGGUCUAGUGCCCGCAAGGGUUUGGAGGUUCAAGUCCUCUUCUGGGCA